GGAUGUGAGGGCGAUCUGGCUGCGACAUCUGUCACCCCAUGAUCACCAGGGUUGAUAUGGCUGAUCUGGCAGGCUAGGUGGGUGUCCCCUUCCUCCCUCACCGCUCCAUGUGUGUCCCUCCCGAAGCUGCGUGCUCGGUCAAAGAGGACGACCUUCCCCGCCAGAGGAGGACAGGUCUUCCGUCAAGGGUAUACGAGUAGCUGCGCUCCCCUGUUAGAACCUCCAAACAAGCUCUUAAGGUAUGUUUUAUUAGUUUGACAAUGUCUGGACUUUUAAUCUGGAGUUCACUUUAUGACUCAGUAUUGAGCAUUUUAAAGGU
rnacentral:snRNA from 1 species